rnacentral:lncRNA from 1 species
UAACUUUUGCCUAGUAGCCGCCCUUUCGGGUUUUCGACUCUAGCAGGCUCUUUGCCCUAACUUUUGCCUAGACCGCCCUUUCGGGUUUUCAGCCUAGCGGGCUCAAUUCUUGCCUGAAGCCGCCCUUUCGGGUUUUCAACUCCAGCUUUUAUUUUUCUUUUCUUCUCUUUUUUUAUUUUUUAUUUUUUAUAUUGGCAAAGAGAAAAUGCUAUUUAUGAUGCAAACUUAUGUUUGUGACCGCGCCUUUGUGGCUGCCUACGUAUCUCCAAGAACUCUUCGGGGGAUGGGGAGAAUCAGGUCUUUCGUAGUUCCU